rnacentral:rRNA from 1 species
AGUGAACGCUGGCGGUAGGCCUAACACAUGCAAGUCGAACGGCAGCACACUAAGAGCUUGCUCUUACGGGUGGCGAGUGGCGGACGGGUGAGGAAUACAUCGGAAUCUACUUUUUCGUGGGGGAUAACGUAGGGAAACUUACGCUAAUACCGCAUACGACCUACGGGUGAAAGCAGGGGAUCUUCGGACCUUGCGCGAUUGAAUGAGCCGAUGUCGGAUUAGCUAGUUGGCGGGGUAAAGGCCCACCAAGGCGACGAUCCGUAGCUGGUCUGAGAGGAUGAUCAGCCACCCUGGAACUGAGACACGGUCCAGACUCCUACGGGAGGCAGCAGUGGGGAAUAUUGGACAAUGGGCGCAAGCCUGAUCCAGCCAUACCGCGUGGGUGAAGAAGGCCUUCGGGUUGUAAAGCCCUUUUGUUGGGAAAGAAAAGCAGCAGGUUAAUACCCCGCUGUUCUGACGGUACCCAAAGAAUAAGCACCGGCUAACUUCGUG